rnacentral:rRNA from 1 species
AACGAACGCUGGCGGCAUGCCUAACACAUGCAAGUCGAACGAGACCUUCGGGUCUAGUGGCGCACGGGGGGGUAACGCGGGGGAACCUGCCCUUAGGUUGGGAAUAACCCCCGGAAGGGGGGGCAAAAACCGGAUAAGGUCUUCGAACCAAGGAUUUAUCGCCUUUGGAUGGGCCCGCGUUGGAUUAGCUAGUUGGUAGGGUAAAAGCCUACCAAGGCGACGACCCAUAGCUGGUCUGAGAGGAUGAUCAGCCACACUGGGACUGAGACACGGCCCAGACUCCUACGGGAGGCAGCAGUGGGGAAUAUUGGACAAUGGGCGAAAGCCUGAUCCAGCAAUGCCGCGUGAGUGAUGAAGGCCUUAGGGUUGUAAAGCUCUUUUACCCGGGAUGAUAAUGACAGUACCGGGAGAAUAAGCUCCGGCUAACUCCGUG